rnacentral:piRNA from 1 species
CAUAUUUUGGGCCCCUUGAGU